GAGCAUACUUGGUGCAAUAUGUAGAUCAUGGUGGGAGUUUAUGGAAGCCAUGUGGCAAACAGAGUUAUGACUUAAGUCCCCACAAGAACUAUUUGACUCGCCACCUCCUCUGUGCCAGAAGAAUUGGAUCUUGAAAGACAGCAUUGAAUCAUUGCUAACUAAAACAGAUAGCUCUGGAUUAUAUGAAUAAAUCAAAACUUCCAAGAACAUGUUGUUGCCAUCUUUGUCAGGAUGGGAAAAUGGCCUGAGGCGGCUGCUCCUCAAAGUCCUAGGGAGAAAGUCUGCUUUGGUUGCCAUCCCAUCCCUUCUACAGGGCUCUAGGUCACAAUUAGGUCCACUCAGCCUAUCAUUCCUGGGAUAUUGAAGUCUCCAUGGUAACCAUAUCCAAGGAUUCUUACUUCUUCUCCUGCAAACUUUUCUGUAAUUCUUUCUGAAAUUUCUUGUUUCUUUGGGACUUACAC